GCUGGCGGCGUGCCUAAUACAUGCAAGUCGAGCGAACAGACGAGGAGCUUGCUCCUCUGACGUUAGCGGCGGACGGGUGAGUAACACGUGGAUAACCUACCUAUAAGACUGGGAUAACUUCGGGAAACCGGAGCUAAUACCGGAUAAUAUAUUGAACCGCAUGGUUCAAUAGUGAAAGACGGUUUUGCUGUCACUUAUAGAUGGAUCCGCGCCGCAUUAGCUAGUUGGUAAGGUAACGGCUUACCAAGGCAACGAUGCGUAGCCGACCUGAGAGGGUGAUCGGCCACACUGGAACUGAGACACGGUCCAGACUCCUACGGGAGGCAGCAGUAGGGAAUCUUCCGCAAUGGGCGAAAGCCUGACGGAGCAACGCCGCGUGAGUGAUGAAGGUCUUCGGAUCGUAAAACUCUGUUAUUAGGGAAGAACAAAUGUGUAAGUAACUAUGCACGUCUG
rnacentral:rRNA from 1 species